rnacentral:lncRNA from 1 species
CUUGUGUGGGUUCCCAAGUCAGACAAAGGACUAUAGAGCGCUGCCUAUACCAGACAGCUCUCCGAACAGCCCUCAGAGAGCACCACAGGAGUGGGGUUGCUCCUACCCAAAUCAGGCUUCGGCUUACUCGAGUCCAUAGAGAAAAAGGCCACAUUAAGCCUCCCCCAGCCCUGAAGCAGGUUGAUUCAGACUUGACCUCGCUGCCGCUGAGCAUGAGACCACCUGGGGUGGAGCCUUCCGACCUAGCCGGCUCUAUUGUUCUGUCACCUGCUGCUGCUCGUCUCCAAGACACUGCUACCUGCUGAAAGGCCCUUGAGAUAAUCUGGAGACAGCAUCCAGCCGAUCACCUACUGGCUGGCGAAGGGCACCAAGAAUGGAUUGUUUGGGGGGGGCGGGGGAGG